rnacentral:rRNA from 1 species
CGGGUGAGUAACACGUAAACAACCUGCCUUCAGGAUGGGGACAACAGACGGAAACGACUGCUAAUACCGAAUACGCUUGGAAGACCGCAUGAUCUUCCAAGGAAAGGGUGGCCUCUGCCUGUAAGCUAUCGCCUGAAGAGGGGUUUGCGUCUGAUUAGGCAGUUGGUGAGGUAACGGCCCACCAAACCUACGAUCAGUAGCCGGUCUGAGAGGAUGAACGGCCACACUGGAACUGAGACACGGUCCAGACUCCUACGGGAGGCAGCAGUGGGGAAUCUUCCGCAAUGGGCGAAAGCCUGACGGAGCAACGCCGCGUGAGUGAUGACGGCCUUCGGGUUGUAAAGCUCUGUGAUCGGGGACGAACGGUCCGUAAGCUAAUGCCUUAUGGAAGUGACGGUACCCGAAUAGCAAGCCACGGCUAACUACGUGCCAGCAGCCGCGGUAAUACGUAGGUGGCAAGCGUUGUCCGGAAUUAUUGGGCGUAAAGCGCGCGCAGGCGGCUUUCUAAGUCCAUCUUAAAAGUGCGGGGCUUAACCCCGUGAUGGGAUGGAAACUGGAAAGCUGGAGUAUCGGAGAGGAAAGUGGAAUUCCUAGUGUAGCGGUGAAA